GGGCGGUUAGCUCAGCGGGAGAGCAUUCGCCUCACACGCGAAGGGUCCGGGGUUCGAUCCCCCGACCGCCCA
rnacentral:tRNA from 1 species